rnacentral:rRNA from 1 species
UACAGAGGGGGCAAGCGUUGUUCGGAAUUACUGGGCGUAAAGCGUGCGCAGGCGGUCUUGCAAGACAGAUGUGAAAUCCCCGGGCUCAACCUGGGAACUGCAUUUGUGACUGCAAGGCUGGAGUGCGGCAGAGGGGGAUGGAAUUCCGCGUGUAGCAGUGAAAUGCGUAGAUAUGCGGAGGAACACCGAUGGCGAAGGCAUCCCCUGGGCCUGCACUGACGCUCAUGCACGAAAGCGUGGGGAGCAAACAGG